GACUUGAUAGCGCACGGUGCGCACCUGCUUUUCAUAUUGUUUGAGGAUAAUGUGUGCAGUGAUCCCCCGUUCAACUCGGGGUCAAGUCG